GAGCAACGCGGCGUCCCUCAUACCUGCAGCUUUACAGGAAAAAGAUGACACAGAGCAGCUUUCUGAGUUAUAGACAGAGGUGUACACAAUAAAGAUCAACAUGCACUAACAUCCUGUAUGCAGUAAUGUGGCAGCUCCUCAGAAUAAAAGGCCAAAUGCAGCCAUAGACGGACAGAAGCACACUUUGCUGUGUGAAAAGCACUGUGUGAAGCUGCUUCUUCCCCGCUCAGGUCUGGAGGGUUCGUGUUGCAUUGUGAGCUGAUCCUGUCCCUCGGACGGGAACUGGCACCAGAAGCUGCUCCUGACGCUUUCUGAUCACCUGUAACUGCUCCUUGUUGCAGUGGGAUUAAAGACAUCAUCCAGCUGAUUAACCUUUACUGAGCUGUCUCUCUUCCUUGUGGGACAAAGAUAUGGCUGCAUCUGUGCACCUGGUGUCUCUGUAGCCUGAGUCAAGUCUCCUCUUACCUUUCUGCAGCAUGAGGUCAUUGCUCAGAAAUAGAGUCUGACAUCAGCUGAGUAUGAUGUCACACACAGUCAGCCGAUGUGUUUACUGGCAGCACAGAGGGUCUGUGGGAAAUCAGGGUGAGGGUGAAGGGGCGAGUGAGGCUGACCUCAUACGAUUGGUAAGUCAGCAGCUCAUGACAUCACUGCCUCCCCUCACUCUGCCACUGGAUUGGUUGAGUCAAACAGUGGACCGGGCUCGGCCGACCAAUCACAGGCAGAGCAGUGGGAUGGAGUGAGAGGGCGGGUGCUCGAGGUAGAGCGAGACAGAGAGUGUGAGAGAAACAAUGUCUGCUGUAUAAUAAAACUUAAGCAAGUAAUUAGAUGUAGAGAACCUGGACACCAGGGUCCAACGAAUGAAAAGCGAAUGAAACUCCAGUACCCACUACUCAGCUGCACAGGUUCGGUUUGGGCUGACGCAGAUACCAGACGCGUUCAGGCGGCGCUGACUCGGCAGAACUCUGUCCAGGGCAGGAAAACUUCCUCCUUGGCUUGGAUCCUGCAUCACAGAGCAACAGGAGCACAGCAUUCUGGGAAGAAGGAGGAGAACAACAGACCAGACCCAAGCCGGAAGGUUUAGGUGACGUAAUGGACGUUCCUGCUUCCAGGGAAUCCUGCAGCUCAGGUUUUUUGUCUGGGAACUUUUGGUUCUGAUACCGCCCGGCUCUUACUGAGGCAUGUUCCUGAAUCAGCUGCCAAACCUGUUGUCUGUUGCCAUCAGGAGGACGACCUGAGCUCACCUUACGAACUCAGCAG
rnacentral:lncRNA from 1 species